AAUUAGUUGACAGAUUUAAUGUAUUUGAUUUAGGAUCAAAUUAUGGAGUAUCACUUCACUAAUUA
rnacentral:tRNA from 1 species